CUUGCUGCGUGGGGAAGGAGAAAAAGAAAAAGGUGACAGUGUGCAGCCUCAUCCCCAGAGUGCCAAGCAAAGCACCUCUGGCCCUAAACUCGCAUGCCCUUCUCAGUCAGAAGCAAAGCCCUGCAGCUGGUCUGAUCUACUUUGCUCAGGUGCCACGAAGUGCAGCUCAAAUGCACAGCAGCCAGAAACACAGCCACUUCUCUGGAGGCCUCUCAAGCUUCUAGUCCCUUUCCCUCACCCUUACUGGAUAUCUGGCAACGUCUAGAGACACCGUUGGUCACCGUAAGGAAAAUCCUAUUGACGUCUACUGAGUCGAGGCCAGGGGUGCUUCUAGACAUUCUGCGAUGCACAGAACAGCUGCCACAAUGAGAAUUAUCCAACCCAGAAUGCCAAGAGCCAAGACUAUACCUACUGGGACACUU